rnacentral:tRNA from 1 species
GCCGAAGUGGCGGAAUUGGCAGACGCGCUAGGUUCAGGGUCUAGUGGGCUUACGCUCGUGGGGGUUCGACUCCCCCCUUCGGCACCA